rnacentral:rRNA from 1 species
UACGUAGGUGGCAAGCGUUGUCCGGAAUUAUUGGGCGUAAAGCGCGCGCAGGCGGCCUUUUAAGUCUGAUGUGAAAUCUUGCGGCUCAACCGCAAGCGGUCAUUGGAAACUGGAGGGCUUGAGUACAGAAGAGGAGAGUGGAAUUCCACGUGUAGCGGUGAAAUGCGUAGAGAUGUGGAGGAACACCAGUGGCGAAGGCGACUCUUUGGCCUGUAACUGACGCUGAGGCGCGAAAGCGUGGGGAGCAAACAGG